rnacentral:tRNA from 1 species
ACGACCGUAGCUCAACUGGUGAAAACGCCGGAGUGGCGUUCUGGAGGUGGCGGGUUCGAGUCCCUCCGGCCGUC